GGCUUGUUUGUCUAGGGGUAUGAUUCUCGCUUUGGGUGCGAGAGAUCCCGGGUUCCAAUCCUGGAAGGGCCC